GAUCCAUCCACCACCCACCACCGUUCUGAAAUUUCCCAGAUCCCCCAUCCAAAUUUGACGAACUUUCUUAUGCGAAAGCUAAUUUUUUCUUCUUCAUGACAAUUGAAACCACUGGUGGCAAGCUGAAUGGUUCCGUAGAGAUGACGCUUCUUGUCAUCGAUAUUUGUUAUGAGAACAUCGAGCAACUGGGGGGUGCCCAAAAAACAAGGAGGUGAGAUAGUUUUUAAUGGAACGGGGCUUUGAUGUGUUCCACAAAGACGUCCGGACAAAAAUAGAAAACCAGACCAAAAAGUAUAGGCGGGGAAAAAAUAAAAUGGGGCCAAGCGGUGAGGCUCCUUCCGUUUGAAAGCACUACGAGUUGCUCCAUCCACAACAUGGAGCAAAACAUCGUGGACAAUGAGAAUACUAGGGAAUUCUUAGAGUAGCUCUUAGAUGUGGACCCCGAUGAGGGAAAAGCCUCUGCAGCGGAAGUCAACUCUCUGCCCAGUUAAGCGGACAAAAGGUAUACCACAAGGCCGGAUGUUUUUAUAUGUUUUACAACAUAACCUAGAAAAUUGUGGUUCUGUUAGCCGAAAGUGGCAUGAUGAAAUAUUUUGUACCAAUAAAACUCCAUUAAGGAGUUAUACACAGUUCGAAAAGGUAAAUAGUCACGAACAGAUGGUCUUAUAUAUUAUCAGGAACGUAGAAAACACACAA